CUGGGAGGGAUACGGUCCCGAAGAGAGGUCCUGGAUUCCCCGGCGGUUUAUACUGGACCCGCAGCUGGUGGCUGACUUCCAUAGGGACCACCCUGACAAGCCGGGUGGGUCGCCGGGUGGCGCCCGUUGAGGGGGGGGUACUGUUACGGUCCGGCACUGUUGUUCCUGUCCCCGUUUGUUUUCCUUUUCCCUUUUUCCCUGUGUGUGUUGUCUGUGUCUGUCUCCUCCUGCUGUGCAGUCCAGUCAGAGGAUCUAGGUCAGGGGGCGUGGCCAUUACCUCCAGCUGCAGCUCAUUGUCACCAAUCAACCAGCAGUUAUCUACCCGGGCUGGCCACCUCUCCAGCGCCAGUUCGUUCCUACACCACCUGUGAUCCCGUCUGUUCCUGCUGCCUGCCUGCCUGCCACUUCCACGCCGCAACCUGCUCAUCUGUUGUCUGAUAUCCUCGUCAUCCAGCUCUCAGUGCUACUAGCUCUCCACCCCACUCAGCUCCUAUUCCGGUCUGAAGCUGCUCCACCCUGAACUGUUUUCUCUCUGCCAAAACACGCAGAAUAAACAACAUCUUUAAUCA